rnacentral:rRNA from 1 species
AUUGAACGCUGGCGGCAGGCUUAACACAUGCAAGUCGAGCGAGCGGCGGACGGGUGUGUAAUGUCUGGGAAAGUGCCUGAGGGAGGGGGAUAACUACUGGAAAUGGUAGCUAAUACCGCAUACCAGCAGAUGCGCCCAGAUGGGAUGAGCUAGUAGGUGGGGUAAUGGCACACCUAGGCGACGAUCCCUAGCUGGUCUGAGAGGAGGACCAGCCACACUGGAACGGAGACCCGGCCCAGACUCCGACGGGAGGCAGCAGUGUGGAAUAUUGCACAAUGGGCGCAAGCCUGAUGCAGCCAUGCCGCGUGUGUGAAGAAGGCCUUCGGGUUUGAAAGCACUUUCAGCGGGGAGGCGUUACUCGCAGAAGAAGCACCGGCUAACUCCGUGCCAGCAGCCGCGGUAAUUC